GUGUCUUUAUUAAAUUCUAUUUGUUUUUCUAUCAAUAAUCUUAAGCUUAAGAUUGCCUCUCUAGUACCUUUGUUCCUUCUGAACCCGAAUUGGUCGUCGCUUAACUCUUUUUCUACUAUGCUCUCAAUUCGGGUGCAUAUUAUCUUUACUAGGAUUUUGGCUGCGUGUGCCAUUAACCUUAUUGUUCUAAAUUCAUUGCAUUUAUCUGCCGUUGCAUUUUUAGGUAUAGGUAUUAUAAUGCUUUCCUUGAAGUCUUUUGGGAUCUCUCCUGUAGUGUAUAUAUCAUUCACUAAUUUGAAUAGCUCGUCUUGUAAUUCUGUACUCGCAUUUUGAAUAAGUUCCAUUGCUAUGUCAUCUGUACCGGCUGCUUUACCUAUUUUCAUUAACUUUAAAGUUCUGCUGAACUCGCCUCUUAAGAUUUCUUCUCCUUGCAUAUCUGGGUUGUUAUUAUUAUUGAGAUUAGCGGCUUCUCCUUCCUGGUAUAGAGCUUCAAGAUAUUUUUUCCAUCUUGUUG